UACGGAGGGUGCGAGCGUUAAUCGGAAUAACUGGGCGUAAAGGGCACGCAGGCGGGCUUUUAAGUGAGGUGCGAAAUCCCCGGGCUUAACCUGGGAAUGGCAUCUAAGACUGGUUAGCUAGAGUCUGGUAGAGGGGGGUAGAAUUCCAUGUGUAGCGGUGAAAUGCGUAGAGAUGUGGAGGAAUACCGAAGGCGAAGGCAGCCCCUUGGGAAUGUACUGACGCUCAUGUGCGAAAGCGUGGGGAGCAAACAGG
rnacentral:rRNA from 1 species